rnacentral:lncRNA from 1 species
CGCUUAUUGAAACCAUCAGCAGGAGGAGUUUGGAUAAAGCUGAAGUUCCACUUAGGCGCUCGGUGAUCCAUCUGGGAAGACAGUGGCCACAGCCCAACAGGAGGCCGGGGAACCUGGACCCCACCAGCCAAGCUUUGAGAAGCAGAUAGGCUUGAAUGAGCAUGGAAUGUAUCUAUUUAAAAAGCAGCUGGAAGUCUGUCAAGUGCAUUCUGGAAAUGGAUUCAGGCUAACAGAGUGUUCUGAAUAGAGACGCCUAAAACAAGAGCCAAAGACAUAGCAAUGGAGAACGUGGGUGGUACAGCCCUCCACCCUGGCGAGCAGCACAUUAGAAUCACGUAGGAGCUUAAAAAGUACUGACUGGCCUGGUCUUUUUCGGUGUGAAGGUGGGAUGCAGGCUUCCUGGGGUUAUCCUCUCGUACAGCCAGAGUUGAGAACCAUCUGAGUAGCGCUUGUCACACUUCUGGCCACAUCAGAAUCGUCUGAGGGACUUGUUCACUGCAGGUUGCUGGGUCCCAUCUCUAGCCUCUGAUCCAGUAGCCUGGGGUGGGGCACAGGAUGUCCUGCUGCUGGGGUCUGGGCAGCGCUAUGAGAACUGCUGACGUUGGAGCUCGAUCAGGUGGUCCCUCACUCCCUGACCCAGGGCAUUUGCUGCUUCCUGUCUCUGCCAUUCUUUUCUCAACCUGGGGCACUUGCUUUUCUCGCUAUGCUGCCCUG